ACUACCCGCUGAACUUAAGCAUAUCAAUAAGCGGAGGAAAAGAAACCAACAGGGAUUGCCUCAGUAACGGCGAGUGAAGCGGCAAAAGCUCAAAUUUGAAAUCCCCCGGGAAUUGUAAUUUGAAGAGAUUUGGGUCCGGCCGGCAGGGGUUAAGUCCACUGGAAAGUGGCGCCACAGAGGGUGACAGCCCCGUGAACCCCUUUAACGCCUUCAUCCCAGAUCUCCAAGAGUCGAGUUGUUUGGGAAUGCAGCUCUAAGUGGGUGGUAAAUUCCAUCUAAAGCUAAAUACCGGCGAGAGACCGAUAGCGAACAAGUACAGUGAUGGAAAGAUGAAAAGCACUUUGAAAAGAGAGUGAAAAAGUACGUGAAAUUGUUGAAAGGGAAGGGCUUGCAAGCAGACACUUAACUGGGCCAGCAUCGGGGCGGCGGGAAACAAAACCACCGGGGAAUGUACCUUUCGAGGAUUAUAACCCCGGUCUCAAUUUCCUUGUUGCCCCGAGGCCUGCAAUCUAAGGAU
rnacentral:rRNA from 1 species